AGUGGCAGACGGGUGAGUAAUGUAUAGGAAUCUACCUAGUAGUACGGAAUAAUUGUUGGAAACGGCAACUAAUACCGUAUACGCCCUACGGGGGAAAAAUUUAUUGCUAUUAGAUGAGCCUAUAUUAGAUUAGUUAGUUGGUGAGGUAAAGGCUUACCAAGACAAUGAUCUAUAGCUGAUCUGAGAGGAUGAUCAGCCACACUGGAACUGAGAUACGGUCCAGACUCCUACGGGAGGCAGCAGUGGGGAAUAUUGGACAAUGGGCGAAAGCCUGAUCCAGCCAUGCCGCAUGAGUGAAGAAGGCCUUCGGGUUGUAAAGCUCUUUUAGUGAGGAAGAUAAUGACGGUACUCACAGAAGAAGUCCUGGCUAACUUCGUGCCAGCAGCCGCGGUAAUACGAAGGGGGCUAGCGUUGUUCGGAUUUACUGGGCGUAAAGCGCACGCAGGCGGAUAUUUAAGUCAGAGGUGAAAUCCCGGGGCUCAACCCUGGAAUUGCCUUUGAUACUGGGUAUCUGGAGUACAGAAGAGGUAAGUGGAAUUCCGAGUGUAGAGGUGAAAUUCGUAGAUAUUCGGAGGAACACCAGUGGCGAAGGCGGCUUACUGGUCUGUUACUGACGCUGANGUGCGAAAGCGUGGGGAGCAAACAGGAUUAGAUACCCUGGUAGUCCACGCCGUAAACGAUGGAAGCUAGCCGUCGGCAAGUUUACUUGUCGGUGGCGCANUUAACGCAUUAAGCUUCCCGCCUGGGGAGUACGGUCGCAAGAUUAAAACUUAAAGGAANUGACGGGGGCCCGCACAAGCGGNGGAGCAUGUGGUUUAAUUCGAAGCAACGCGCANAA
rnacentral:rRNA from 2 species